AUCCAGAGCCCUGGUGGUCCAGAGCCCUGGCAGUUUUCCACUUCCCGAAAAAGGAAUGCUACAUAGCCAAGACCCUUCUUCAAACAGAGGACAAUUAUGUGAUUGCACUGCAAGAAAUGGAAGGUCCUAGGGAAAAGGAAAGAUCCUACAUGCACACAUGCAUGGGAGCAGCUGUUCCAGGAAACAAUAUAUCCAGGUCUUUUCUAGGCCUGUGAUCACUCCUGGUGUUCUCCUCCUGAUGGUCUUCUUUUGGAUCCCCACAAUCAUAUUGUGCAGCCCCCAAUAUUGGACACCACACACCUUGCCUGGAAUAAUGCACGUGGGAGAAAUCCUGGUGGCACCAUGCAACCUGCAUUCCUGUUUCAGCAUCCCUAUGUGGUGUUUGCCAUCUCUGCAUGAUGCUGGUGGCCAGUGUUCAGAGCCUUCAGGAAUCUUACGGAUAGCACUUACAGCACAACUUCAAACAGUGAAUGUUUUAGCUUUGAAAAGCUAAAUGUUUAUGUGGUCUUUGAAGCAGAAGCCUCCCUUAAAGUGAAUGUUUACAUUUAUCUGAUUCAUGUAAUUGCCAAAGCAUUUUGGAAAUGUCUUGAGGGACAUUUUCUAAAGUGGGGCCCAGUCUGGUGGAAAUGACAGGAGAUAGUCCUUAAAUGUUUCAACAGUUUUACCUCUGUUUCUGUCUGUGGCUGGGAGGCAGAAAUGUAAGAAAAUAUAUGCAAACUAAAAAUAUAAACCAAAAGCUGGGGUUUUGUUGUUUUUGUUGUUUGUUUUUGUUUUGCUUAGUUUUGUUUUGUUUUAAUAACAAGUAUGUGAGCUAUGUGAGCUUGGGUACAAAUUCAAAGACAUGAAUUUCCCAUUACAUUUCCUCUUACAUUCCUUUAUAUAUGCAUAAACACUGAUGUGUAUGUACAUGUGCAUAUACAUGUAUAUUAAUGGGAGAUAUCUGGGCUAUUCUAUAAUGUGCAUUUGUACAUGUAACAGCAACAGCAAGUAUUUGGUUUAGCACGCAGGUAUACAGAAACUUCUCCAGCUUCAGUGUGUACAGUCAGUCAAAAAAAUAAAC
rnacentral:lncRNA from 1 species